AACGAACGCUGGCGGCAUGCCUAACACAUGCAAGUCGAACGAGCCCUUCGGGUCUAGUGGCGCACGGGUGCGUAACGCGUGGGAACCUGCCCUUAGGUUCGGAAUAACUCCCCGAAAGGGGUGCUAAUACCGGAUAAUGUCUUCGGACCAAAGAUUUAUCGCCUUUGGUUGGGCCCGCGUUGGAUUAGCUAGUUGGUAGGGUAAAAGCUUACCAAGGCGACGAUCCAUAGCUGGUCUGAGAGGAUGAUCAGCCACACUGGGACUGAGACACGGCCCAGACUCCUACGGGAGGCAGCAGUGGGGAAUAGUGGACAAUGGGCGAAAGCCUGAUCCAGCAAUGCCGCGUGAGUGAUGAAGGCCUUAGGGUUGUAAAGCUCUUUUACCCGGGAUGAUAAUGACAGUACCGGGAGAAUAAGCUCCGGCUAACUCCGUG
rnacentral:rRNA from 1 species